UACGACCACAUCACGUUGAACCACCGGUUCCCGUCCGAUCGCCGAAGUUAAGGAAUGUCGAUCCUGUCAGUAUCUAGGUGGGUGACCGCUUAGUAAUAUCAGGUUG